rfam:Haemonchus placei strain MHpl1 genome assembly, scaffold: HPLM_scaffold0002769
GGGACAAACUUGAAGUAGAGUAGAUUAGUAGGAUCAGCUGACCAUACCCAACUAUUCUACUUCAAGUUUGUGUCU